CGGGCUGUGGCGCAGUUUGGUAGCGUGCCUGAAUGGGGUUCAGGAGGUCGCUGGUUCAAGUCCAGUCAGCCCGACCA
rnacentral:tRNA from 2 species